rnacentral:snRNA from 1 species
GGGCGUGAGGGUGAUCUGGCUGUGACGUCUGUCACUAUCUUAAUCACCAGGUUAUUAUUUUUUUUGCUGACUUGGCUGGCUAGGUGUUCCCUACCUCCCUCAUUGCUCCGCAUCCAUCCCUCCUGAAGCUGUGCACUUAGUAGGCUGAAGAAGACGGCCUUCCAGGAUAUAAGAAGAUGCCCUCCCACUGUAGAGGAGGACCACUCUUAGGCCAAAGGUAGCUACACUCCCUGAUAGAACCUCCAAACAAGCUCUCAAAGGGUGUCAAAACCGCUAUGCAAAUGAUGUUAUAAUGAAGCCAAGGUCUCUUGGGAAUAUGGCACGUUUGUUAGUAUUC